rnacentral:misc_RNA from 1 species
UGUUGUUUACAAAUGGCGGACGGAGAACAUUUUCAAAACCUUUCAAAUUUCCAACAAGAUUUGUCGCUAGCUGCUGCAAAUGGCGAUAUUACGUUGCUAAGGAGAUUGCUUGAGAAAGGAUGUGAUCCCAAUAAGAAAUCUGCAGAUGGCAUGUCUCCACUUGCAAUAGCAGCAUUCUGGGGAUAUGCUGAAAUAGCACAGGUUCUGCUUGAAGAUGGUGCUGAUGUAAAUGCAACAAAUGGUGGCACGUUAUGGACACCUCUCCAUUGUGCUGCAUUCCAAGGUCACGGCAAAGUCAUAAUGAGGUUAAUGGAGAAACAGCCCAACCUAACUCUGAGGGACAAUAAUGAACGCACGGCAGCAGAUUUUGCCUCUGCUCUCGACUCAAUCUGGUCAUUUUUUGCAGCCGCAGGAUGUGAAAGAACACCAAAGGCUGAUCUAAUAAAAUUAAAUAUUGUACAAAAAGUUAAAACGGAGGAUCCUGGCUUAUCCAGGUCAGACUAUGCCCACUUUUCCCGUCCUGGCUCUGCCUACGCCAUGAGGCCACAACCAAUGAGAGGCUACUCAGAUCCAAAUAUGGAGGUGGCUUCAAUCACGGGAGAUGUCCUUGCUUCUAUGCCAGAAGAACCAGAAACAAAAAACAGUGACAGUCCAAAUAUAUUGCAUAUGUGGAACAAUUGACACCAGCUAGACAUUAGCAGAACAAUUGACACCAGCUAAACAUCAGCUGAACAAUUGACACCAGCUAGACAUUAGCGGAACAAUUGACACCUGCUGAAACAUUAUGUUGGAAUGAUAGAAUGUUGAGAUAAGCUGGAGAUUACAACAUUAUGUUGGAAGGUGGACAGACACUAGCUAAAUAUAACAAUCUAAAGUUGGAGAGUUGAGACAAGCUUAACAUUCUGACAAUUUGUCAGACAUCUAACACUAUUGUAACAGUGCUACAUAACAAGAUACCCACUUGAGUACACUAAACUUAUAUGUGCUGAAUGGUUAUGUGUGGUACAGGCUGGGUGCUUUAUAAUUGUUGAAAUUCAAACAUUCCAAAACAUUCAAACAUUGUUGAAAUUCAAACAUUCCAAAACAUUAAAACAUUGUUGAAAUUCAAAAAUUCAAAAACAUUCAAACAUUGUUGAAAUUCAAACAUUCCAAAACAAUCAAACAUUGUAGAAAUUCAAUGAUUCCAAAACAUUCAAACAUUGU